rnacentral:rRNA from 1 species
AGUGAACGCUGGCGGUAGGCCUAACACAUGCAAGUCGAACGGCAGCACAGUAAGAGCUUGCUCUUACGGGUGGCGAGUGGCGGACGGGUGAGGAAUACAUCGGAAUCUACUUUUUCGUGGGGGAUAACGUAGGGAAACUUACGCUAAUACCGCAUACGACCUACGGGUGAAAGCAGGGGAUCUUCGGACCUUGCGCGAUUGAAUGAGCCGAUGUCGGAUUAGCUAGUUGGCGGGGUGAAGGCCCACCAAGGCGACGAUCCGUAGCUGGUCUGAGAGGAUGAUCAGCCACACUGGAACUGAGACACGGUCCAGACUCCUACGGGAGGCAGCAGUGGGGAAUAUUGGACAAAGGGCGCAAGCCUGAUCCAGCCAUACCGCGUGGGUGAAGAAGGCCUUCGGGUUGUAAAGCCCUUUUGUUGGGAAAGAAAAGCAGCAGGUUAAUACCCCGCUGUUCUGACGGUACCCAAAGAAUAAGCACCGGCUAACUUCGUG